rnacentral:rRNA from 1 species
AUUGAACGCUGGCGGCAUGCCUUACACAUGCAAGUCGAACGGUAACGGGCCUUCGGGCGCCGACGAGUGGCGAACGGGUGAGUAAUGCAUCGGAACGUACCUUUCAGUGGGGGAUAACGUAGCGAAAGUUACGCUAAUACCGCAUAUUCUGUGAGCAGGAAAGCAGGGGAUCGCAAGACCUUGCGCUGAUUGAGCGGCCGAUGUCAGAUUAGCUAGUUGGUGAGGUAAAGGCUCACCAAGGCGACGAUCUGUAGCGGGUCUGAGAGGAUGAUCCGCCACACUGGAACUGAGACACGGUCCAGACUCCUACGGAAGGCAGCAGUGGGGAAUUUUGGACAAUGGGGGCAACCCUGAUCCAGCCAUGCCGCGUGAGUGAAGAAGGCCUUCGGGUUGUAAAGCUCUUUCGGCCGGGAAGAAAUCGUAUGGGCUAAUACCCUGUGCAGAUGACGGUACCGGCAUAAGAAGCACCGGCUAACUACGCGCCAGCAGCCGCCGCCGUAA